GUGCUCAUGUUGAGACCACAUUUACUAAAAUUAGCACGAUACAGAGAAGAUGAGCGUAGCCCGUGUGCGAAAAGGGAAAGAAAAAGCGUGGGGUGGAGAAAAGCUCU
rnacentral:snRNA from 1 species